rnacentral:rRNA from 1 species
CACUGAGGCGUGACGACGAGGCACUACGGUGCUGAAGCAACAAAUGCCCUGCUUCCAGGAAAAGCCUCUAAGCAUCAGGUAACAUCAAAUCGUACCCCAAACCGACACAGGUGGUCAGGUAGAGAAUACCAAGGCGCUUGAGAGAACUCGGGUGAAGGAACUAGGCAAAAUGGUGCCGUAACUUCGGGAGAAGGCACGCUGACACGUAGGUGAAGUGAUUUACUCAUGGAGCUGAAGUCAGUCGAAGAUACCAGCUGGCUGCAACUGUUUAUUAAAAACACAGCACUGUGCAAACACGAAAGUGGACGUAUACGGUGUGACGCCUGCCCGGUGCCGGAAGGUUAAUUGAUGGGGUCAGCGCAAGCGAAGCUCCUGAUCGAAGCCCCGGUAAACGGCGGCCGUAACUAUAACGGUCCUAAGGUAGCGAAAUUCCUUGUCGGGUAAGUUCCGACCUGCACGAAUGGCGUAAUGAUGGCCAGGCUGUCUCCACCCGAGACUCAGUGAAAUUGAACUCGCUGUGAAGAUGCAGUGUACCCGCGGCAAGACGGAAAGACCCCGUGAACCUUUACUAUAGCUUGACACUGAACAUUGAGCCUUGAUGUGUAGGAUAGGUGGGAGGCUUUGAAGCGUGGACGCCAGUCUGCGUGGAGCCGACCUUGAAAUACCACCCUUUAAUGUUUGAUGUUCUAACGUGGACCCGUAAUCCGGGUUGCGGACAGUGUCUGGUGGGUAGUUUGACUGGGGCGGUCUCCUCCUAAAGAGUAACGGAGGAGCACGAAGGUUGGCUAAUCCUGGUCGGACAUCAGGAGGUUAGUGCAAUGGCAUAAGCCAGCUUGACUGCGAGCGUGACGGCGCGAGCAGGUGCGAAAGCAGGUCAUAGUGAUCCGGUGGUUCUGAAUGGAAGGGCCAUCGCUCAACGGAUAAAAGGUACUCCGGGGAUAACAGGCUGAUACCGCCCAAGAGUUCAUAUCGACGGCGGUGUUUGGCACCUCGAUGUCGGCUCAUCACAUCCUGGGGCUGAAGUAGGUCCCAAGGGUAUGGCUGUUCGCCAUUUAAAGUGGUACGCGAGCUGGGUUUAGAACGUCGUGAGACAGUUCGGUCCCUAUCUGCCGUGGGCGCUGGAGAACUGAGGGGGGCUGCUCCUAGUACGAGAGGACCGGAGUGGACGCAUCACUGGUGUUCGGGUUGUCAUGCCAAUGGCACUGCCCGGUAGCUAAAUGCGGAAGAGAUAAGUGCUGAAAGCAUCUAAGCACGAAACUUGCCCCGA